CCUACGGGAGGCUGCAGUGAGGAAUAUUGGUCAAUGGGCGCGAGCCUGAACCAGCCAAGUAGCGUGAAGGAUGACUGCCCUACGGGUUGUAAACUUCUUUUAUAAAGGAAUAAAGUGAGGCACGUGUGCCUUUUUGUAUGUACUUUAUGAAUAAGGAUCGGCUAACUCCGUGCCAGCAGCCGCGGUAAUACGGAGGAUCCGAGCGUUAUCCGGAUUUAUUGGGUUUAAAGGGAGCGUAGAUGGGUUGUUAAGUCAGUUGUGAAAGUUUGCGGCUCAACCGUAAAAUUGCAAUUGAUACUGGCAGCCUGGAGUACGGUGGAGGUGGGGAGAAUGGGUGGUGGAGGGGGAAAAUGUUUA
rnacentral:rRNA from 1 species